GACACGAUGGCCGAGUGGUCUAAGGCGGUAGAUUUAAGCGCCGCUUGGAUCUCUACUACAGAAAUGUGCGUGGGUGUAAGUUGAUAUCUAUGCUCUUCAGUUCGAGCCCUUCUAAUGAUGUCUAGUCGAACCCCACUCGUGUCA
rnacentral:tRNA from 1 species